rnacentral:pre_miRNA from 1 species
GAUAUACUCCCUCCGCCCGGAAAUACUUGUCGGAGAAAUGGAUGUAUCUAGACAUAUUUUAGUUCUAAAUACAUCCAUUUUUAUGCAUUUCUGCGACAAGUAUUUCUGGACGAAGGGAGUAUUUG